UACGGAGGGUGCAAGCGUUAUCCGGAUUCACUGGGUUUAAAGGGUGCGUAGGCGGGCAGGUAAGUCCGUGGUGAAAUCUCUGAGCUUAACUCAGAAAACUGCCAUGGAUACUAUUUGUCUUGAAUAUUGUGGAGGUAAGCGGAAUAUGUCAUGUAGCGGUGAAAUGCUUAGAUAUCAAGAGGAACACCUGAGGCGAAGGCGGGUUGCUAGGCUGAUACUGACGCUGAGGCGCGAAAGCCAGGGGAGCAAACGGG
rnacentral:rRNA from 1 species